CUGUAGGCAAAUCCCAUAGAACCAGGACCUAGACAAGGGGUUACUAGGGGCCAGGGGAGGGGGAAACAGAGUGACAGCCAAUGGGCACUGGGUUUCUUCUUUUUACUUUUUUAGAGACAGGGUCUCACUGUGUUGCCCAAGCUGGAGUGCAGUGGUGUGAUCAGGCUUAAUGCAGUCCUGACCUCCUGGCCUGAAGCCAUCCUCCCACCUCAGCCUCCAGAGUAGCUGGGAGCACAAGUGUGCACCAUCACACCCAGCUAACGUUUAUUUUUUUGUAGAGAGAGUCUCACUAUGUUGCCCAGGCUGGUCUUAAACUCCUGGCCUCAACUGAUCCUCCUCCUUUGGCCUCCCAAAGUGCUGGGACCAUAGGCAUGAGCUGCCAUUGCCAGCUAAUUUUUUAAUUUUUACAUUUGCUGAGGCAGGGUCUCACUGUGUUGCCCAGGCAGAUCUUGAACUCCUGGCCUUGAGCAGUACCUCCCUCCUCGAUCUCUUAAAGUGCUGGGAUGACAGGUGUGAGCCGCUAUGCCCGGCCCAGGGUUUCUUUUUGAAGUGGUGAAAAGGCAGAUGCUCAACUGUGAAUCUACUAAAAACCCCUGAAUUGUACUUUUGAAAUGGGUGAGUGGUCUGAUGCAUGAAUUCUCUCUGAAGAAAGCCAUUCAACAAGAACGCAGGAAACAGUGUCUGUCUGGUCCUCCCUGCACCAGGCCCUGCUCUGCUGCCCGCCUGCCUGGAACAAGACCAACUCCACUGCCCACUUCUGCCCCCGGCACUCACUCGCAGCUGCCAAGAUCACUGGCCUCAUGAUCAGCUAGUGGGUGGGCUCGCCUCAUGUCCCCAUGGGCUCCGAGCCCUGGGAGGGCCUCCAGCACCACGGGUUCUCGUGGCAGCAGUGCCUCUGUCUUAGGGAGAGGGCACAUCCCUGGCCCUUGUCCAGGCCCCCGCCCUGGGCCCAGUCACCUUCUCUGUCUCUCGGCUGCAUUUGAUGAUGAAGAUGUUGGCAUAGAUGUCCUCCACGCACAUCCAGCUGGACAGGGACAGCGUGGUGUCCGUCCACACCCAGUCCAUCACUGCCCGCAGCUCCACCAGGAACGGCACCAGCCGGAACCUGCCCACAGCCAGGGUUCCCGUCAGGUGGGCUCCCUCCUGCCCAGGCCGUGACCCCCACCCCGGCGGACCUGCACUCACCCCUGGAAGAGGAAGAGGUUGAGGUGAUUGUACUUCUUGGUGAGGAAGUUGCCGAGGAUGCGGGUGGGGUAGCCGCAGCGGAUCUGGUAGGCGGACAGGGCGAAGUAGAUGCAUUUCACGAAGUACCACAGCUGGGCCACCGCAUUCUGGCUGAACAUCCUGGGGUGGGAUGGCCAGGUCAAGGACCCCAUCAGAAACAGAGCCCCGCAGGGCCCCCAGCCCGCACUGCCCCGCCCCUGGAGACCGAGCGCCCCCACGUGUGGGCCCACCUCUCAGUAACGGCGGGCAGGAUGAAGAACAUCCAUAGGUGGAUGGCCAGCACCAGCACCACCUGGAAGGCCAGCUUGCCCAACACGGUCUUGCGCAGGUAGAGGGCGCGGUCCACCACCAUGGUGCUGAACUGGAUCAGCAGCAUGACCAGGAAGGCCUCGGGUACCUGGUCGUCUGAUAGGGAGGACGUGAUGUCCGUGGCCGCCGAGUGCUUCUGUGGCCAGGAGAGCACAGGUCAGGGGGAGCCAGGCCCACGGGAUGUGGGUGGCUGCUGAGCUCUGCGUACACUGGUGGGGGGGUCCCGGGCCUGGCUUACCCCAAAGGCCCAGAAGCCAAAAAUGAUGAUGAUGAAGUCGACAACAUCAGCCAGGAACAUGAGGGCAUAGACGUC
rnacentral:antisense_RNA from 1 species